rnacentral:rRNA from 2 species
ACUUAUAGAUGGGCCCGCGGCGCAUUAGCUAGUUGGUGAGGUAAUGGCUCACCAAGGCGACGAUGCGUAGCCGACCUGAGAGGGUGAUCGGCCACACUGGGACUGAGACACGGCCCAGACUCCUACGGGAGGCAGCAGUAGGGAAUCUUCCGCAAUGGACGAAAGUCUGACGGAGCAACGCCGCGUGAACGAAGAAGGCCUUCGGGUCGUAAAGUUCUGUUGUUAGGGAAGAACAAGUACUAUUGACGGUACCUAACCAGAAAGCCACGGCUAACUACGUGCCAGCAGCCGCGGUAAUACGUAGGUGGCAAGCGUUGUCCGGAAUUAUUGGGCGUAAAGCGCGCGCAGGUGGUUCCUUAAGUCUGAUGUGAAAGCCCACGGCUCAACCGUGGAGGGUCAUUGGAAACUGGGGAACUUGAGUGCAGAAGAGGAAAGUGGAAUUCAUGUAGCGGUGAAAUGCGUAGAGAU